UACAGAGGUGGCGAGCGUUGUUCGGAUUUACUGGGCGUAAAGGGUGCGUAGGUGGUAUCGUGUGUCGGAUGUGAAAUCUCACCGCUCAACGGUGAAACUGCAUUCGAAACUACGAUUCUAGAGUACAGGAGAGGAGAGCGGAAUACUUGGUGUAGCGGUGGAAUGCGUUGAGAUCAAGUAGAACACCGGUGGCGUAGGCGGCUCUCUGGAAUGUUACUGACACUGAGGCACGAAAGUUGGGGGAGCAAACAGG
rnacentral:rRNA from 1 species